rnacentral:rRNA from 1 species
AUUGAACGCUGGCGGCACGCCUAACACAUGCAAGUCGAGCGGCAGCGCGAUAUGUAGCAAUACAUAUUGGCGGCGAGCGGCGGACGGGUGAGGAACACGUAGGAACCUACCCUCGAGUGGGGGAUAACCAAGGGAAACUUUGGCUAAUACCGCAUGAACUCGAGAGAGCAAAGCUGCCGCAAGGUGGCGCUCGAGGAGGGGCCUGCGUCCGAUUAGCUAGUUGGUGAGGUAAGAGCUCACCAAGGCGAUGAUCGGUAACUGGUCUGAGAGGACGACCAGUCACACUGGGACUGAGACACGGCCCAGACUCCUACGGGAGGCAGCAGUGGGGAAUAUUGGACAAUGGGGGCAACCCUGAUCCAGCGAUGCCGCGUGAGUGAAGAAGGCCUUCGGGUCGUAAAGCUCUUUAGGUUGGGAAGAAGGGUGAUGAGGAAAUGCUAUCACUUUGACGGUACCGACAGAAUAAGCACCGGCAAACUCUGUGCCAGCCGCCGCAGUAAUAC